UUAAAAAUUGAAGUUAUUUUUAUAUGUGAAGAAACAAUAAUAAAAAUUAGGGACAAGAAGACCCUAUGAAUUUUUAUAAAUUCUUUAAAAAAUUUUUUAAAGAAUUUAUUUAAUUGGGGCGAUUAAUAAAUAUAUUUAACUUUUUUUUUAAAAAAAAAUGAUCCAUUAUUAAUGAUUAAAUGAGGUAAAUACUCUAGGGAUAACAGCGUAAUAAUUUUAGAUAGAUCUUAUAGAAAAAAUAGUUUGCGACCUCGAUGUUGGAUUAGGAUUCUUAUUUAAUGAAGACCGGAGAGAAACAAAAAAGUCGCCCUCCCUUACCUCACCCUUUGUGUAAUGGUAGAAGUUGGACUAAUUCCUAGUCAUUGUAGUC
rnacentral:rRNA from 1 species